UACGAAGGGGGCUAGCGUUGCUCGGAAUUACUGGGCGUAAAGCGCGUGUAGGCGGUUAUGCAAGUCGGGUGUGAAAGCCCGGAGCUCAACUCCGGAAGUGCAUUCGAUACUGCGUAGCUAGAGUACUGGAGAGGAUGGUGGAACUCUCGGUGUAGAGGUGAAAUUCGUAGAUAUCGAGAAGAACACCGGUGGCGAAGGCGGCCAUCUGGACAGAUACUGACGCUGAGACGCGAAAGCGUGGGGAGCAAACAGG
rnacentral:rRNA from 1 species